GACGAACGCUGGCGGCGUGCCUAACACAUGCCAGUCGAACGGAAAGGCCCUGCUUGCAGGGUACUCGAGUGGCGAACGGGUGAGUAACACGUGGGUGAUCUGCCCUGCACUUCGGGAUAAGCCUGGGAAACUGGGUCUAAUACCGGAUAGGAGCCAUUUUUAGUGUGAUGGUUGGAAAGUUUUUUCGGUGUAGGAUGAGCUCGCGGCCUAUCAGCUUGUUGGUGGGGUAAUGGCCUACCAAGGCGGCGACGGGUAGCCGGCCUGAGAGGGUGGACGGCCACAUUGGGACUGAGAUACGGCCCAGACUCCUACGGGAGGCAGCAGUGGGGAAUAUUGCACAAUGGGCGCAAGCCUGAUGCAGCGACGCCGCGUGGGGGAUGACGGCCUUCGGGUUGUAAACUCCUUUCGCUAGGGACGAAGCUUUUUGUGACGGUACCUAGAUAAGAAGCACCGGCUAACUACGUG
rnacentral:rRNA from 1 species